rnacentral:rRNA from 1 species
UCGAGGAUCUUUAGCAAUGGGCGAAAGCCUGACUAUGUGACGCCGCGUGAGGGAUGAAGGUCUUCGGAUCGUAAACCUCUUUCAAUGGGGAAGAAACCCCGCCAUAGAAAUGUGGUGGGCUGACGGUACCCAGAGAAGAAGCCACGGCCAACUCCGUGCCAGCAGCCGCGGUAAUACGGAGGUGGCGAGCGUUACUCGGAUUCAUUGGGUGUAAAGGGCAGGUAGGCGGCUAUGUAAGUUGGAGGUGAAAUCCUUGGGCUCAACCCAAGAACUGCCUUCAAAACUGCAUAGCUUGAGGCUGGAAGAGGAGAGCGGAAUUCCCGGUGUAAGGGUGAAAUCUGUAGAUAUCGGGAGGAACACCAGUGGCGAAAGCGGCUCUCUGGUCUAGCCCUGACGCUGA